AACUAGGCCCUUUUCAGGGCCAAAGUAUGGUCACAAAAGAGAAUUGU
rfam:Enterospora canceri strain GB1 scaffold_165, whole genome shotgun sequence.